UUUGAAAAAGUUUUAUUUUAUAUGGAGUAUUUUAAAGAUAUUUUUGUUUGGUAAUUUAUAUUGAAUGAUGGAGUAAAAUGAUAGUGAAAUAGUACAGUAGUGGAAUGAUGAAAUAGAAUGAAAUAUUAAUUAGGUUUAUAGAAAAGAUUAAAUCUUGUACCUUUUGUAUUAGGGAUGAAUAAUAAAAAUUAUAAAUUUAUGUUUCCCAAAGAAAAAAGAGUUAUUAUAAAGUUGGAAUUAAUGUGGUAAAAUUAAAAUUAAUUUUAUAAUAGUGGUGAAAUGCUAUUCGAUUUUUUUUAUAUUUGGUUCUUUGAUAAAUGAAUUUAGUUCAGCUUUUGAUAAUAAAUGUAAUUUUAUUUUAUUUUUGUUUUAUCAGAAAGUGAGUAUUGGAGGGAUAAUCUUCUAGUAUAUUUAUAAUAAUUAAAAAUUAAGUUAUGAAAAGAUUUAGAAGUGAUUAUUUUAUGUAAUAAUAGAUUUGUAAAUAAUUUUUAGUAUUUAAAUUUAAAUUGAGGAUAAUUUUGUAAUUGUUAUUAAGUUUUUAUAAUGUUUAUAUUAGUAGAAAGUGAAAAUAAAAUAGAUUUAUUUGGAGAGUUGUGUGGAAAAAUUAAUAAUGUAAAAUUAAAUUAAGGAAUUCAGCAAAAAUUUUUUUCGCCUGUUUAUCAAAAACAUGGUUUUUUGUUGGAAUAAAAAAUCUAAUCUGCCCAAUGAUUAAGAAUUGAAUGGCCGCGGUAUAUUGACCGUGCGAAGGUAGCAUAAUCAUUUGCUUUUUAAUUGGAGGCUGGAAUGAAUGAUUUGACGGAAAAGGUCUGUCUUAAUUUUAAGUUUUUAAGUUUACUUUUUAGUGAGAAGGCUAAAAUAUUAUCAAGGGACGAGAAGACCCUAUUAAGCUUUAUUUUUAUUGUUUUUUGUUUUAUGUUUUCAUAUACAAAAAAAUAGUGAAAAUUUUACUGGGGCGGUAGAGAAAGAGAAAGAUCUUUUUUUAAAAAUUAAAACAUUUAUGUUAAUUUUUGAUCCAUUAUUAAUGAUAAAAAGAAGAAGUUACUAUAGGGAUAACAGCGUAAUUUUUUCGGAGAGUUCAUAUCGGCGAAGAAGUUUGCGACCUCGAUGUUGAAUUAAAGAGUCAGUAAGGCGAAGAAGUUUUAUAUGAGGGUCUGUUCGACCUUUAAAUCUUUACAUGAUUUGAGUUCAGACCGGCGUAAGCCAGGUCGGUUUUUAUCUUUGGUAAUAAUUGAAAUUAUUUUAGUACGAAAGGACCAAAUAAUUGAAAUUUUGUUUAUUUUAUUUAUGUAAAUUUUAAUAUA
rnacentral:rRNA from 1 species